ensembl:lncRNA
AGUGUCUUGUUGAAACAAGAGAGACUGACAGGUGGAAAACUGAGGGGGCUGUCUGGAAGAGUGUCAGGAAGAACUUAGAAUCUGAUUUGGACUUGAGCUGGCUUCCUGAUGCCUCUGCUGUGAGUCUUGCAGGCGCCGGGCGGACGAGGCUGGCUUCUCAGCUUGCUCCCUGCCAGCUUUCAGCUUCCUGCAUUUGCUGGGUAGAGGGAAUACCUUUGUUUCUGCUGCUCAAGAUGGAAGUCGGAACCGGGGAUAAAAAGUCUGAUUCCUGUUCUGCAAAUCCUCAAACAUUUAACGGGGCUCAUGACAGACUUGUCAAGAGGAUCAAGGUACCCAUUGUGGGUUGAAUUGCUUCCCCAAGAAGGAUCUGCAGCAAUCUUAACACCUGGGACCUGUUUGUGCUCAUUUGGGUGCUCUUUGCUUUCUUCCACAUGUGUCUAAAUUUGUUAAGAAUAUUGCACACAGACCAGCAUUCAGGUAACUGGGAUGAGAUGUAGCAAACAAGCAGGCCCUCUGUGAUAAUACCACAUGCAGCCUCGGGUGAUGAAAGCAAACCCAGUAAA